ACAGUGGGCACAUAAUAGAGUGAUCAAAGCCCAUGGGCUCUGUUCUACAUAUAAUGUAUUGGUCUACUACUCCCCAUGAAUCACCAACUGACCUUCACCCACUUCUUGGUCUACUUUUUUGGU
rnacentral:ribozyme from 1 species